AAGAACAGCCCCUCCUCCCAGAACUGCUGCAGGUGCCUGGAGCCAGGGCCUUGCUCUCUGCUCUCACUCCCCUUCUGCUACACUAGGAAGACCAUUUUGAACAUCUUAUAUUUUUGGUUGUGAGCCUAGCCUUUAACGGCUGAGCCAUCUCUCCAGCCCCAUUUUGAACAUCUUAAGAAUCUUCCUUCCACUCUAGUCCCCAUAAUUAGGCAGGUGGAGCCCCUGGCUAAGCUGCUUUCCUUGUUUGCUGAGAGUUGAAGAAAACAUCUUCCCCACUAUGAGCAAGCAGACACUCUGCUGGGUAGCCUUUUGUUUCCUUGCAGCGGGAAUCACUCAUGGUCGCAUUACUCAGACACCCAAAUUCCUGAUCGGACAGCAAGGGCAGAGAUUGACCUUGGAAUGUGAACAAGAUUUUAAUCACGAUAACAUGUACUGGUACCGACAGGAUCCAGGCAAAGGACUGAGACUGAUCUAUUAUUCAAUAACUGAAAAAGAUAUCCAGAAAGGGGACCUAUCUGAAGGCUAUGAUGUCUCUCGAAAUAAGAAGCCAUCUUUCCCUCUCACUGUGACAUCUGCCCAGAAGAACCAGAUGGCUUUCUACCUCUGUGCCAGCAGUAUAGCACAGUGA